CAAACAACUCUUUUAUGUUGGUACCAUUGGUAAUUCCUUCCUUGUUGUAGUACAUAAUUUCAUUCGUCUAUUGGCAUAUGGAUCUGGAUAUCUUGCAAUAAUGUUGUGGUUUUGUGUCUCAUAUAACUUUAUUUGGAAUUUUAAUACUUCUGCAUUUUGAUUUUUAAUCUUUUUGAUUAUUAAGGUCAUGUGGUACAAGGCAAUGUAUUCCAACUACAAACCCAUCAUUAUUGCAUAUUCCAACUACAAAACACGCACGCGCGCUCACACACAUUUUCCAACUACAAACCCAUCAUGCACACGUUCCAACUACAAACCCAUCAUACGCACAUUCCACCUACAAACCCAUC
rnacentral:lncRNA from 1 species